rnacentral:rRNA from 1 species
CCCUUAGAUGUUCUGGGCCGCACGCGUGCUACACUGAGUGGAUCAGCGGGUCAGGUUGCGCGAAAGCGUUUCCUAAUCUUUAAAUCCGCUCGUGAUGGGGAUUGACGGUUGCAAUUUUCUGUCAUGAACGAGGAAUACCUUGUAAGCGCGGGUCAUCAUCCCGCGCUGAAUACGUCCCUGCCCGUUGUACACACCGCCCGUCGCUCCUACCGAUUGAGUGGUCCGGUGAGGCUUUGGGAUCUGAGCGGAAAGAGCGUUUCGCUGUUUCUGCUCGGAAAACUCAGUCGAACCUUAUCAUUUAGAGGAAGGAGAAGUCGUAACA